GGAUAGGUAGGAGCCUUGGAAACCGGAGCGCUAGCUUCGGUGGAGGCAUCGGUGGGAUACUACCCUGGCUGUAUUGACCUUCUAACCCGCUGCCCUUAUCGGGCAGGGAGACAGUGUCAGGUGGGCAGUUUGACUGGGGCGGUCGCCUCCUAAAAUGUAACGGAGGCGCCCAAAGGUUCCCUCAGAAUGGUUGGAAAUCAUUCGCAGAGUGUAAAGGCACAAGGGAGCUUGACUGCGAGACCUACAAGUCGAGCAGGGACGAAAGUCGGGCUUAGUGAUCCGGUGGUUCCGCAUGGAAGGGCCAUCGCUCAACGGAUAAAAGCUACCCCGGGGAUAACAGGCUUAUCUCCCCCAAGAGUCCACAUCGACGGGGAGGUUUGGCACCUCGAUGUCGGCUCAUCGCAUCCUGGGGCUGUAGUCGGUCCCAAGGGUUGGGCUGUUCGCCCAUUAAAGCGGUACGCGAGCUGGGUUCAGAACGUCGUGAGACAGUUCGGUCCCUAUCCGUCGCGGGCGCAGGAAAUUUGAGAGGAGCUGUCCUUAGUACGAGAGGACCGGGAUGGACGCACCGCUGGUGUACCAGUUGUUCUGCCAAGGGCAUCGCUGGGUAGCUAUGUGCGGACGGGAUAAGUGCUGAAAGCAUCUAAGCAUGAAGCCCCCCUCAAGAUGAGAUUUCCCAUUCCGCAAGGAAGUAAGAUCCCUGAAAGAUGAUCAGGUUGAUAGGUCUGAGGUGGAAGCGUGGUGACACGUGGAGCUGACAGAUACUAAUAGAUCGAGGACUUAACCUAUA
rnacentral:rRNA from 1 species